GUUUUCUUCUCACUUCCUGAACCCAAGACUCCUACCCUAGAAGUGUAACAGUCAGGGGAACAGGACUUCAAGGCUGAUAGUGUAGAGUCCAUGGACAAGUAGUGGACAUGCUACUGGACUUGAAAGCAGUUUGGUAAUAGCCCCUGAUGAAGACAUACAGAGACAUCAUUAUAAAAUGAAGGAAGAUCACAGCUUAUUUAAAAUAGUCGGAACAUGGAAAAGACCAUGUUGGCGGGCUUGUGACAAGGUCAAUGAAUCAAGAUACCCUUGGGGAAGAAGUGUUCCACUGAAUUAAAGGGAGACCUACAGAGAAGCAGGUUAGAGGUCAGAGUUCAGUCCUCUUUAUGGCAUACAAUUUUAAUUGGUACCUGUAUUGCAUUGGGCCUUUUGUUGACACUGGGAGAGAUAAUUCUUUAAAUCCUCCAAAAUUUUUUACCCUAUGCAGGGAGUUUCACUAAUAAAACAUUUUUGGACUUCCUCUAGUUCCUUUCUGGAAAAAGAGUGGCUUAACCUGGCUGCUCUACAUGCCUUAGUAAUACACAGUAGUAAUUCACCCCUAGAGGAAAUGGCAGACACCGCUCUGGAGGAGGUCAAGAAGGACAGGUGGUGUAUAAAAACGUAGCUUACACUCCUCUGACAUUUGCUUCUGAUAUGUUGUCACCCCCUCAAACUGGUGGUUCAAGAGGAGUUCCACAUGACCAGCUAAAUUUGAUUCUAGAAAUUAAGUUUCUAGUAAGGAUAAAGUAGUUUGGUUGAUCUAAACUUUCCACACACAACAAUGAUAAAAUAUAUCUAUGAAAGAGCUGUCUUAUGGCACCGGAGAGUAACU